rnacentral:rRNA from 1 species
AGGAUUAACGCUGGCGGCGUGCCUGACACAUGCAAGUCGAACGAGGCCGCAAGGCCGAGUGGCGGACGGGUGAGUAACACGUGACCAACCAACCUCGAAGUUGGGAAUAGCUCUGCGAAAGUAGGGGUAAUACCGAAUGUGGCCCAGGGCGGGCAUCCGCCUUGGUCUAAAGAUUCAUCGCUUCGAGACGGGGUCGCGGCCUAUUAGCUUGUUGGUGAGGUAACGGCUCACCAAGGCGAUGAUGGGUAGCUGGUCUGAGAGGACGACCAGCCACACUGGGACUGAGACACGGCCCAGACUCCUACGGGAGGCAGCAGUGAGGAAUCUUCCGCAAUGGGCGAAAGCCUGACGGAGCAACGCCGCGUGUGGGAUGAAGACUCUAGGGUUGUAAACCACUGUCGGAGGGGACGAUCGUGACGGUACCCUCCAAGAAAGCCCCGGCUAACUACGUGCCAGCAGCCGU